GAGAUGGAUUGGUGGCCUUCGGGAACGUCUGACACAGGUGCUGCAUGGCUGUCGUCAGCUCGUGUCGUGAGAUGUUGGGUUAAGUCCGUACGAGCGCAACCCUUGUCCUUAGUUACCAGCACGUUAUGGUGGGCACUCUAAGGAGACUGCCGGUGACAAACCGGAGGAAGGUGGGGGAUGACGUCAAGUCAUCAUGGCCCUUACGGCCUGGGCUACACACGUGCUACAAUGGUCGGUACAAAGGGUUGCCAAGCCGCGAGGUGGAGCUAAUCCCAUAAAACCGAUCGUAGUCCGGAUCGCAGUCUGCAACUCGACUGCGUGAAGUCGGAAUCGCUAGUAAUCGUGAAUCAGAAUGUCACGGUGAAUACGUUCCCGGGCCUU
rnacentral:rRNA from 1 species